CGCACCUUGCGCUCCUCGGUAUUCCGAGGAGCAUGCCUGUUUGAGUGUCUUGAAGUCAUCAACCUCCCCGUUUUUGCGAACGGGGUCGGUUGGAGCUGGGGGCAUGCGGCCGAGAGGCCGCUCCCCUCAAAUGCAUCGGUCGGGCCUGUGGGUUCCAACUCGAUUGGGCGUUGUACCAUCCUCGCUCCGCAAGAGUGGACCCGCUGUUAAGCGCCCCUCCUCGACUCGCCUAUGGAGUGGCGGUCAAGCACAUUUUGAAAUCUGACCUCAAAUCAGGUAGGACUACCCGCUGAACUUAA
rnacentral:misc_RNA from 1 species